CGUGGAAUUUACUUGAAGAUGC
rnacentral:miRNA from 1 species